UUUGUCCUUGGUGUGAGCGAUUCAGAACAGCCUUUCUGGCAGGGUGAAGUGGUAAAGGUGGAAGAAGUGAGCUUCUCCCAGUGAAUCAUGUCACAACUGGAGGCCACAAGCCACAGAGGAGAGGAAGCCUGCAGUCUGAAGAUAAAGAGACGCAAGUCUAGUAAACGAUGCUAUCAUUUGGACAAGAAGAGGAAGUGGAGCCCAGUGGCAAGGCUGGAGAGGAGCCGGCAAGUGAGGACCACAGGGUGCCUGAAGCCAAAGGCGAAGAGGACAAAGAAUUUGAUGGAGAAGGACGGUUCUUUCAAAGACCUUCCCAUCUCUGACCCUCGCCUGAAUUAGGUCUCAUCUGAGGAGCUCAGGCCGAUGAAACUGCUGUCAUCUCCAAUGUGCUGGUCACCACGCUCUGAGGGUCUUGCCCCUGUAACUGAAUGUUCAGCCCGGAAGUGACGUACCUCUCUUCUGUUCACAACUUGUUGGCCAGAGCUGGCCACAUGUCAGUUUCUGUCCCCCAGUGUCACGGAGCCAGGAAAGUUUUCAAGAGACGUUUGCUCCUCUCCCAGUGUCCUUUCUGGUGCCCAGAAAGAGUCCUGGUUACUGAAGCCGAAAACACAUUCUCCCCUUGGUCACCAUCAGAAUCAAAUUACCGAGCAAGCGGGUGCCGACGAGGCCUGUCCCCACGCAAACUUAAUUAACAAAAUAGGUAAGUGACCCAGUUUCCUGCGGAGUGACAUUUCCUGAGGAGUGACACCUUGUGACAGGGACACGGCUUGGCAAGAUGUGCAGCUUGGAGCCUGGGAUCUGCCUGCCAUUUGGGCUCCUGUCGGAGUCACUGUCGAGACCAUUAAUCUUCAAUAUACGGCUGCACCUUCUCCUCGGGGGGUUGGGUUUUCUUGUUCUGUUUUGUUCGGCAUGGCAUUCAAGAUUCCUUCACAGAAAUCUGUGUUGGGGCAGCAAAAUGCUAUGUGAAUUAUGUCCUCGUGAAGUCACCAUCUGGCCAAUAUUCAUCUUGCUUUGCAAAAUACCAAGGAUAUCCUUCGGCACAGAUGCUGGGCCAGAUCAUCACACACCAGCGACCGCAGUCGUAAACCAACAGGCAAUCAAGUGUAAUUAAUGCACCUGGUACCCGCUUCAGAGUUCCCAACCUGCACAAUGCUUGGCUCUUUUUUUUUUUUUUUUUUUUUUUUUUCUGUAUGUGGGGCUUGGUUUUGUUUCCUUCCCUUUUAGGGUGGGGAGAGAGGUUUGCAGUUUGAAUCAGCUCUCGCAUCUUCAGCAGUAAUUAAGUCACCGUCACGGGGCUGGUAAAAAUGGGAGUGUUUGUGUGUGUUCAAGAAGCUGCAUCACAUGCAAACAAUACAGCACUGAGCAACUUUCUGUGGCUUGAAGAGGCCAUUGUCCUGUGCGCCUGGCAUCCAUUCUGCUGUUGGCACUCACUGGCUUUGGCAGGCCGGCCCCAGCCACUGGUCUCCUAGUGGUUUUGUGCCUGAUGGAAGAAGGGAGGGAUCUCAAACUUGGAAAAACAAACAAUAAAACACCAAGCAGCCCAUCGUCUUCCUGUGAGCAGAAUAUCACAGCCUCCUUCCUCUCUUGCUAUGCUGGGUGCUUUAAAGUGGUGAUGGGAAAGGUGGGGAAGCAUCCUGCCUCUGUGCAAUCGACAUUCUGGGAAGCCGUGAACACUGUCUUUGGACAGAGACCAGCGAGGGUUCGCAAGUGGGACACAGAGGGUGGAGGGGAGUGGAAGCUGCAGAAUAGCCAACAGUGAUGGUGACUGCGGGUGGUGAUGGGGUGCGGGGGUCCGAGGGUCCCUGCAGGCUCCUUCCAUCACAACAGCCAUGUAGGCUGUGGAGUGUGGGAGUCUGGAGAGCCUUGAUCUGGGUUCAGGAACAUGCAGGACAGUGAGCUGGGCUCCUUUGCAGCUUCCCUGCGCUGCACUUAAGUGCUCUCAUGGUGACCUUGCUGUGGGCACCUUAUUCUGAAGCACCGUGUCCCAUUGCCUGAGCGCCGUCUCUGAAGCCUUCUAAUUGCCAGCUCUCUUCAAAUCAAUUCCAUUCAACAGAUGUGCACUGGAUUUCUGCUCCAGAGCCAGGCCCUGAAAGAAGGAGAGGCAGUUAGAUAAAUGAAUCAGAUGUCAUAGGCUUCUGCGUAUAGAAAGCAUUUCCUAGUGUCUGAGAAAGGAGGCAAUAGUUUGAGCUUCAAUCCAGACUCAGGAGCUGAAUCAUCUUGGGCAAGUUCGUUAAACUCUCCAGCCCUCCAUUCUGGGGGCUCAGCAGUAAAAUGGCAAUAAUAGUGCAGAGUUGCUCUAAGAAUUGAGUGAGAUUUUUAUCUAUCUAUUGAUCUCUAUAUAGUUCACACACAUAUAUACAUGCACGCGCACUAAGCCCUCAAGAACCUGUUGUUAUUUUCCCUGCAAUUCAGAUGGAGCCUGAAGUGGUAGUAGGUCAUCUCUGCCUACAGAAGUCCACAAAGGCUUCAUUGAAGAGGAGAGAUUGAGCCAGGUGUUUCUUCUUCCAGUAGACCCGAGAGGAAAAGAGCGUACCAGGGUGGGGAAAUAUGUGUACAGAGUCAGGGAGGCAGGAAAGAGCCCAGCGUGUUCCAGGAACAGCAAGUACACCUGGAGCCCUGGUUUCUGGGGCGGCCUGGGGUCAGAUGGUGGAGGAUAACCCUAGAGAGGCAGUUGGUGGCCAGGUGGACACCCACCGAGGCCCCACCUCUUUCAGAUGGUAGCUGCUCCAAGAACACGCCUCCUCCACCUUCUCUGUGUUGUGUGAUUUCCCCUCUCAUUCUCAAUACUACUCAGACUCACCUUUUCCAUUCAGCCUUUCCUGCUUCCAGGUUCAGUGCAGCCCCUAGCACCACUUGGGACUGGUAAGACGUCAUCUAUCACCUGUCUGGGCUCAGCUUGUAAAGUCCUCCAGGAUGGAGAACUCAUAGAAGGCUCCUCUAGUAACCACAUUUCAAUAGCACUUUGCAAACAGAGGGACUUUUGUAAAGGCACUUGCUUCACCAGGUAGAUUCUUAAUUAGCAGAUGAGGAGUAGUGAUGGGAGAGCAGAACCCAGGUAGAGAUGGGACACCUUUGCUUCCAGUGACCUCAAAUGUGUCAUCAGUCUCUUUGAACCUAGUUUUCUGUAUCACCAAGACAAGGGCCACCUGUUCCUGAGGACGUUCUGAGAAGCAGGGAGGAGGCCCAGGGACUUUGGGAGAAGCGUGCAGCCUAAAGGGAGCCUUUGUUUCCAUAACUGUGGCCGGGAAAGAACUUGUCGGGUUCUUAUGGGCUUGUUUGCCCGCAGGGCUUGGAGUCUCUGAAGCUGCACCUCUUUCCUCUCCUCUCGGGAACAGAGCCCAAGACAGGGCUCUUUUACCAGCCCUAGUGUGUGGGUGUCACACUUCUUCCCCAUUUAUCAGGAGGUGGUAUGUGCAGUGCUAACUCCACAGCUUUGGUGGUGACCCUCACAAACCCUGGCAGGAGGGAGCCUGGGGUCAGAGGGAUUGACACACACCUAUAUCUCCCUCCCAGUAAGUGAGAGAGGUGAGACUGAGAUAGAAGAUUUUCUGACACCAACUCCAGGAUCUUUUUACCAUCCCACUCGGUAAAAAUGCCCACUGGAGCAUCUUUGGAUGCAAAGUGGCACCAGAAGGAAAAGAUAUGUAGAAUCAAGAGCCCCACGGGAACGGAUCAUAAACCUUGCAAGUUUCCAACUUGACCAACUGUUAAGGAGGAGACAGAACAGAGAACAGGGAGAGGAGUGGGGACCCCUUGGUGCGGGUGGAAGAGAACAGCUGGGUGUCAAGUGCAGAACUGGAGGUCUAGCAACAAAGUCUAGACCAGCAGAGAGAGGAAACAGAGGGGCAUGGGAGGAGCAUAUGGGCUGGGUUCAUGGUUGUGAAUGAUCAGUCAUGGCUGAGUCAAUGCUGAGGGAGCAGCCACUGAGUAGAGUUUCAAAAUCCAAAUGGAGCACUGACUUUGCACAAAGCAAAACAGGGUUCCUGACUUCACAAAGAAGAUGCUCUUGCUCUCUCUUUAAUUAUGCUUUCUGUGUCAGGAAGGGUGCCUGGGCAUGAUCAGUAUGAUUCCAGAAUAAACAUCACUGCUGGUCACACCCACACGGGAAGUCUAGAUGGAGAUACAAGACAUGUCUUCACUUCCCCACCGUUUAACCUGUUCUUCUCUGCAGAAUCCACCUGGAAGGGCGGCUAGGAGUCUCACCCUCUCUUGGAAUCUUUGUUUUCUCCUCCUUCACAGCCUUUUUGUCUUUGCAUCCCAGAGGGACUGCCUAACCUCCCUGCCUGAUGACUUUCUGCUGCCUGAAAGCAGUGAUGUUGGAUCUUCCAAGCUUUAGAUCUUUCACAGGAGCAUCCACAACACAAAGAUAUAAUUCCCUUGUUUUCCUCUCUCUCAUUGUAUGACUUCACCAUGCUAUUAUACCUGCGGAAUUCUAUCUAAUACUUGGUUAUAUUAAAGACCUCUGUU